rnacentral:tRNA from 1 species
UAAGACUUAUAGAUUUCCAGCUUUGAAGGUUGAUAGUUUAUUUUAACUUAAAGUCCU